rnacentral:lncRNA from 1 species
AAACUUAUCAAAGAAGUUUAAAGAAGAGUUAAAAUUCAUCAGUGCAAAAGUACUUGAGCAAACAAGAGGGAAGGCUUCAAUCUUUGCUCACUACCAGGAUGCCAAAGAUGAGUCCCUGACUGAAAAUGCACAAGAUAUUGAUCUACGUGCAACUGCCAUUUUCAUGCCAAUAUUUUUCAAAGAGAAGAUCAAUCAUUUCAUUACUCUUGGAGAGCAAGACCCAAAGCAUCCGUAUCCUAGUAUUCAGCUGCUGGAAGGAGACUGGAAAAAGGCGUUCGCCACCAGAGUCCCAACCGUGGUAAAAGUGGACAGCGUUGAGGUGUGCCGUUGUUCAGGCAUUGAAGAUGGAGUCAUCUCUGCAUUCUGCACAUACUUCAUUUUCAACAUUCAGUAUCCACACUGCCUCAAGAACACUUUGAAUUUCCUUCAAAGAUACAUUGCAAAAAUAUCACUGGAGGGGGACCAACCUUUGCCAAUUACUGUGAGCCGC